rnacentral:rRNA from 1 species
AACGAACGCUGGCGGCAGGCUUAACACAUGCAAGUCGAACGCCCCGCAAGGGGAGUGGCAGACGGGUGAGUAACACGUGGGGAUCUGCCCAAUGGUACGGAAUAGCUCCGGGAAACUGGAAUUAAUACCGUAUAAGCCCGCAAGGGGAAAGAUUUGAUCGCCAUUGGAUGAACCCGCGUCGGAUUAGCUAGUUGGUGGGGUAAAGGCCUACCAAGGCGACGAUCCGUAGCUGGUCUGAGAGGAUGAUCAGCCACACUGGGACUGAGACACGGCCCAGACUCCUACGGGAGGCAGCAGUGGGGAAUAUUGGACAAUGGGCGCAAGCCUGAUCCCGCCAUGCCGCGUGAGUGAUGAAGGCCUUAGGGUUGUAAAGCUCUUUCGCCGACGAAGAUAAUGACGGUAGUCGGAGAAGAAGCCCCGGCUAACUUCGUGCCAGCCGCCGCCGUAAAAC